CAGCCAUCCUGCACCUCCAGAGCCUGGAGAAGCAUCCUGGCUGUACAGCAAGCCUGGAACGGCAAAGCAGAGCAUGCAACUGCUUCUCUCCAGGAUGGAGGCCCUUGAAGCUCGCCUAAUGCGUUCAUUCCACAGCCUGAUGGAUUUCCAAACCCAGCGCCGCCCUUUCUUAUCACACUCUCCCAGGCCUCCAUGCUGCUUCCGAUGUCCAGCAGCCCAGCGUGGCUCCAACACUAACACCGGUUAAGGUUUGGACUUCAAAAGCUCUCUUUUUACAACCUGACCCGAGGAAACUGGCUGGAGUGCGUGUGGCUUGGCUGCUGUCUGCUGGAUAACCUUCCCAAUCUUCUGACACCCCAGAAGACUGGAGACUGUACAAACCCUCGCACGACUCUCCUCCCAGUCUGUUCUGUAAUAAUUCCGGGGCCGAAGCCAUGUCUCUUGCCCUGAAUCACAGGAUAUCAGUCACAGAGCCAGGAGCCCGAGCCAGCUUUCAGCUUUCCCAUGGCUCUGUUCUACCCACUCAACUAUAAAGCCAAGGAGGAAAAAAAAAAAAAAAAAGACUCAGACAUUUCAUCAACCUGUCUCUUGUGUCAAAUUGCGUUAUUCUCAAAUUGUGUAAGACUUAUGUAAACACUAUCGCUUCACACUCGGGGUUCCAUAAGUACAUUGGCUGUGUGUUUCUCACUCUGCAGGCUUCCUCUGGAUGGGCGUGUAAAAAUUGCCAAGAUUCCAGACUUAAGAAAACACUUACAGGGCAGCCGUCCAGUGGCAUUAGAGUCAGCUUGUGCCCAGAGGCACAGAGCAGAUCGUAGCAGGACCUGCUGGGUGACGCUCAUUACCCAGCCCUGGCAGCCCCGAAGCCGCGCUCACCUCUGUGUUCAUUCGAUGAGUGACUUUUGAGGUGCGGGUUUGUGCUUCCUAGAGGCAUAUUUCCUCUUUCUGUCUCUCUUUUUCUCCGCCUCACUGUCCCUCACUCUUCACCGUAGCCACUCUUUCUCCUUCACUAUGCCCUCCCUCCGACUCCUUCCUUUCUGUUAACCAACUCUACUGUAAACUGGUGGGUUUGCUCGAAAUUAUGUCUAAGAAACAACAUUCCCAUUUACAACUUCCGGCAAACACCCAGAUCUCCUAAUAUGAAGGAGUCUCCCGAUAACUGAUGGGUGUCUAUGUAUUGGAUUUCAUAUUAUUGUAAAACGGGAUUUUCUCUGACUAACAUUAGUUACUAGAUAGGAUUCAUCAAAUUAGCUUUCAUUGUAAUAAAAUGAAAGCAUGAAGUUGAUUAUUAACUUAUUCAAGGUAGGGUCACGCAGGCAUAUUGGUAUACUUUAAUAGGCUGUAGCAUAAAGAUGAUGAUGCCAAAUACCAAACCAGGAGCAGCUUCAAAAUACUGCAGCAAAUUUUAUAAUUUAUAUACGCCAUGCUGAUUAAGUCGCUAUUUUAAGCAAAAAAACUACCCAGCUUCCUUCUUCUUCUCUAUUCGAUCUAGCUAAUCUACAGUUGCCAUCUUAAUCUUCCACAAGCGUCCCUUCACAUUCUCUGGGUUAGGAUAAUUAAGAGCACGAGUUCUUGGUGACCUCCAGUCUAGGUUUCUGGGAUCAGCCCUCAGAUGGAAGGCCAAGGUGGGGCAUGGUAAUUUCUAGAGCCUGAUAUUUUUGGUUUGAUGUCGAUGACCUUUCUUUGGGUGCUGUGGCCUUCACCCGCUGUUCCAAGUGAGCCUCUCUGAGUCCCCCUUCCCCAAAACCUACCCUGAAUGUGAAAGGCUUUUAUUGAUUCUCCUAGUGAGGUCUCAUCUGUAUUGAGAUGGUGUCUGUGGGUGAAACUGUAUGUACCUUUCUCCGAGUGUGGGGCAUCCUGCAGGACCUCAAGAUUUCUGCCAUCCCAUGGUUUUGGUCUGCCAUUAAUUUGCCUGUUUUAUACACUACCUUAUGUUAUUAGUUAAUUAUUCAUAAAUGUGAGCAACUAAGUAUUUUUAAAUCUUCAUCUAGGCUUAUAGACACAAAUCAAAUUAGCUGUUAUACAAUUUUAUUUUGGAUGUUGUUUUUGAUAACCCUAAGAGCGAUCAUUCAAGUAAUCAGAGACAGUUCUGUUCAUCCUUUGGAGAGAAUCAAAUUGCCCAUGCCGUGGAUGAGUCCAUAGAAUUCUCUCCUGGGUACUGAGAAAAGAUCUUUUACUAAGGCAUCCAGAGGAAUGAACAGUUUUCCAUGCCACAGUGCCUGCUCUGUGUAACUCAAUUAAUUCCAUGAGCCAUACACAAGUCUAUUACAUUCUGAUAGGCUGCUUACUUCAGCUGCCUGGCUCAGUUUGCUAUGCAUCUGUAAGUCCAGAGGUGGAUUUACCACCAAAGCCCAUCAUGUUCAUCUAUACCUGGGCUAGUUAGUAGCCCCAAUGCCAAGUUUCUCUGGUUAUUUCUUUUCAUAAGUCUUAUAAAAGUAACUUUUUUAACCUUUUCCUUAAAAGAGGCUAAGAAGUUGUAUCCAUACCCAAUCCUGUGUGACUUGGAUCCAGCCCUAGACAUGGUCCAUGUUUAUCCACGUGAAACAGGUUAGGCAGCCAGGUCAGGGAAAUGACAAACUCGGAAAUGAAUGAACACCCUUCCUCAGGUCAUUGCUUUUCUUUAAUCUGCAAAUGUAACUCUAGAACUAUUUAAUCAAAUGAAGAUACAUGCUUUGCAAUCAGAAAACUUGGAAGCCAUCUUACUCAUUUCUGAAAAUGAACAACAGUAGUUUGUAUUCCCAUUGAUUUUAUGCGAUUUGUACUAUAAAUAACAUUACUUGAAACUAGGCCAUUACAAUCACAGUAGCAGUUACAUUUGUAAAUCAAUGUAGAUUUGUGAUUGUUUGAGACAAAGGUCUUCCAUUUAUUGGGAGAGCCAUAGUAAAACUCUGAGGAUGAUCUAUAAGAAACAUCAUUAAAGAGGGACUCAGAAAAUGAAAAGGCUCAUAUUUUUAUGGUCAGAUUGAGGAGCUGCAAAGCCUGAGCCAACCCACAGGGUACCGAUUGCUUGCUUAAGAAAAACACAGCAGGAAAUGCAGCGAUAACACACUGUCUAACUCUUUGCUGCCCUGGAAGACACAGGGAUAAGACUUAGAAAGGAGACUGCAGUUGGCUCAGUGGGUAAAGUCCUAUAGCCUGAGUUCUAGACUUGGCUUCUGAUGUGUGCGUGCACAUACACAAUACAUAGAUAAAACGUAAUUUAAGUUUUUGAAAAGAAAGAAAGACCUGAAAGACAAAGCUGCCCCUUCAGAGUUUCUAGUCAAAGAAUGUGAUUUACGGGUACUGGAGUAUGUCUGGUGUUUAAACAAAUUUGUUUUAAAAACAAAAA